AGCUUCAAACGAUUUGUCAUUUGCUGGCAGGAUGAUGCAAAUUGUGUUGCAUUUCGUAUACCGCUCCAUGAUGGAAGCGGUUCGGUAACAGGAAUAGUAAAACGUAAUUUUCCUAACGGUGGCUGGGCAUAAGUGAAAAAUAAUAGUGCCUAGCAAUCAAAACUUCAAACUACUUAAAUUUAACAUCAGGUUCGAGCACAGUACAAUCGUGAAUUCAUUUUUUAAAGGAACGAGGAAAAAAAAAUCACAUGUACGGAGUCUAAAUCAGAAUAAAAUCGUCGCACCUCCUUGCCAGCGACCGUUCCUUGCUCGGUGAUCUUGACCAGAGGUUGUUCACGGCCCAAUCCCUGUCUUGCAUGCGUUCUUUGAGAAUUGGUGACCGGUAACACGGCGAAAAAUCGCGGGAACAACGCGAAAAACAGCCACGCGGGACACCUCAUUCUGCAGACUGACUGAUUUGCCACGGAAACAAUCGGCGGCUUUACUCUGGGGUCUCAGUUUAACCCUUGCGUGACUUCAUUCGACCACCCGCGGCCAGUUUCUCCUCCUCAGCCUCGAGACCUGCGCUCUUUCACUUGCGGCUUUCUUGCGUCGUUCAAAGUCGCGUGUUAGCCAUGGGUUCACCCCUUAUUGUUAUAGAGCAUUUGGUGUUUGGGGUGUUUUAUGUUUGUAGAAAGGAUUUGAACUUAGG